UACGGGGGGGGCAAGCGUUGUUCGGAAUUACUGGGCGUAAAGGGCUAGUAGGCGGCCAACUAAGUCCGACGUGAAAUCCCUAGGCUUAACCUAGGAACUGCGUCGGAUACUGGAUGGCUUGAAUCCGGGAGAGGGAUGCGGAAUUCCAGGUGUAGCGGUGAAAUGCGUAGAUAUCUGGAGGAACACCGGUGGCGAAGGCGGCAUCCUGGACCGGCAUUGACGCUGAAUAGCGAAAGCCAGGGGAGCAAACGGG
rnacentral:rRNA from 2 species